UUGAGGAUGAUGAAAACGAUCAGACGGAUUCCCAUUGAUUAUUCCAUGAGAACAGUACCAGCUACUUCUGACUCUU